GCAGGCCCGGGAGGGAGCGAGGACGCCCUCUGCCGGUGUCGCCUCCCCUCUGGCGCCGGCUGUGCGAGGCUGCGGCUCCCGGGGCGGCCCUGGAGCGUGUCCUCACGGGCACUCAGACCCGCGCUCGGUGUGGUCGUUUUCUGGUCGUGACCUGAAGUCUCACCCGCGCAUUUGCUUGAACUGGAAGAGCCCAGCGUGCUCGGUUUGCUAUUUUCAUUUCAGUCCGUCUGUCGUCAAGCUUCACGUUCUCUCCGCAUUGCAGGUUUGACGUCAGAAUUCACCGGCAGCGCCCGUUCUCCUUCGGAAUUCGUAUUUCCGUGCUUCACUCGGUGGGUUUCCAGAUGAUGGGUCAGCUUUAACCCCAGUAAAGCCUUCAGCAGCCUUUCGCAUUUGUGUACGUUAAUGACUCGUCUUGCCUCAGGAGUAGCCCGAAAAACACCCCCAAAGCCAGUCUCCCACAUUCUCCAGCCUGUGCCGUAAUACGUGUUGCCUCGGUGACAGCCCGUAGUGGCUGCAGCCUUGGCUCCCGACCCUGAAAGAGCAGGACCGCGCUAGGAGCCAAGAAUGUGUGCUGUGCCGGAAGAACCCCCAACAACCAGGACGCAGCCACUGCUGCUCCUGACUUUGGGCGUUUCUGUUACCUGGGGACGCCUGCACCCUGGGAGGCCUCCGCCCCAACCCUAUAGAGGACCUCUGGCGGCAGUGGCGGAUGUCCCGCCGCCGAGGAGCAGAUCCUGACCAUCCUGCCCGCGGAGCACCAGGCCCGGGUGUUAGAGCAUCAGCCAGAGAGCAGGGAGGAGGCGGCGAUCGCGUGGGGGCUUUGCAGAGAGAGCUCCACGAAACAGGUUGUAGCCAGGACAGGUGGAAUAGGAGUGUGUUCAGAGUUUCCUCACCAGGCAGCACAGAAGCCACCAGCUAUUCUAGGCCAAGAAACAUGUAGACUUCCAGGCCAUUCAUGAACAAGGUAAGCGUCAGGAUCCAUCUUGAGAGAGGGUGGCCGAAAGCUGUGCCAGCUAUCUAGGUUGAAAAGCAAUUCGGAACACCUGAGACAGAAACACGGUGCUGAAUCCAACUGAAUAUCUGUCCUCUCAAGUACAGCAUUCCAGCUUGGGCAGCACUAGCAGAGGACGUGAUGCGGAAUAACAUAACGCUGUCGUCCCUAUUAUCUGACUCGUGAGGAAGCUGUACAGCAUUCCUAACCUCAUUGAACAACCUUUUCAGACUGCUCUCAUAACGUUUAUCUUUACUUAAAGCUAUUUGUGUUUUCAUCAUAUGUAAUCAUAGCCUAACCUCUACUGUACAUUUAGUACUUGCUCUGUAAAGCAGAACUCACUCUUUUGUAUUAAAAUGACCUUUUCUGAAUUUCCCACA